GAUGAACGCUGGCGGCGUGCCUAAUACAUGCAAGUCGAGCGAACGGACGAGAAGCUUGCUUCUCUGAUGUUAGCGGCGGACGGGUGAGUAACACGUGGAUAACCUACCUAUAAGACUGGGAUAACUUCGGGAAACCGGAGCUAAUACCGGAUAAUAUUUUGAACCGCAUGGUUCAAAAGUGAAAGACGGUCUUGCUGUCACUUAUAGACGGAUCCGCGCUGCAUUAGCUAGUUGGUAAGGUAACGGCUUACCGAGGCAACGAUGCAUAGCCGACCUGAGAGGGUGAUCGGCCACACUGGAACUGAGACACGGUCCAGACUCCUACGGGAGGCAGCAGUAGGGAAUCUUCCGCAAUGGGCGAAAGCCUGACGGAGCAACGCCGCGUGAGUGAUGAAGGUCUUCGGAUCGUAAAACUCUGUUAUUAGGGAAGAACAUAUGUGUAAGUAACUGUGCACAUCUUGACGGUACCUAAUCAGAAAGCCACGGCUAACUACGUG
rnacentral:rRNA from 1 species